GGUUAAGUUAGAAAGGGCGCACGGUGGAUGCCUUGGCACUAGGAGCCUAAGAAGGACGCGACGAACGGCGAAACGCCUCGGGGAGCUGUAAGUAAGCUUUGAUCCGAGGAUAUCCGAAUGGGGGAACCCACCAUCCGUAAUGGGAUGGUACCCAUACCUGAAUACAUAGGGUAUGAGGAGGCAGACCUGGGGAACUGAAACAUCUAAGUACCCAGAGGAAGAGAAAGCAAAUGCGAUUUCCCAAGUAGCGGCGAGCGAAACGGAAACAGCCCAAACCAAGAGGCUUGCCUCUUGGGGUUGUAGGACGUCUCAUACGGAGUAAGAAAAGACGAGGAUAGGUGAAGCGAUCUGGAAAGAUCCGCGGUACAAGGUAACAGCCCUGUAGCCGAAAUCCUCGUCUCUCCGAGACGGAUCCUGAGUACGGCGGGACACGUGAAACCCCGUCGGAAUCCGGGAGGACCAUCUCCCAAGGCUAAAUACUCCCUAGUGACCGAUAGUGAACCAGUACCGUGAGGGAAAGGUGAAAAGCACCCCGGAAGGGGAGUGAAAGAGAUCCUGAAACCGUGUGCCUACAACUAGUUGGAGCCCAUUUACGGGUGACAGCGUGCCUUUUGUAGAAUGAACCGGCGAGUUACGAUCCCGUGCAAGGUUAAGCUGAUUAGGCGGAGCCGCAGCGAAAGCGAGUCUGAAUAGGGCG
rnacentral:rRNA from 1 species